CCUUUGCAGGUGGGAGUGGCCAUGGGACUAAGUUCCAGCCAACAGGAUGUGAGAAAUGCCGUGUGCACCGACUGCUUCUCCUUCCGCCCCUGUAGGCUGUGAUGCCCACCUGAAGCCCUGCUGGAGAGGACAGCACUCCGAGGAGUAGCAGAGGAACCAGAUGGAAGUAGCCAUGGUCUGGGACAACCUCAUGUAGCAAAACGGCCCUCCUGGCCUGGGCAGACAGCUGAGGGUGCAAGCCCCGAGAAAUGCGAGCCAUGGCUCUUCAUGGCUGAAGGAAUUGGUCACCUAACACUGACACGGUCUGGAAGAAUUAUUUUGAGGUGGGAGUGGCCAUGGAAUUAAGUUCCAGCCAACAGGAUGUGAGAAAUGACACAUGCACCGACCGCAUCUCCUACCACUCCUGCAGGCUGUGAUGACCACCUGAAGACCUGCUGGGGAGGACGGCACUCCAGGGAGUAGCAGAGCAACCACAAGGAAGUAGCCGUGGUGUGGGACGUCCUCAUGUAGCAGAAUGGCCUACCUGACCUGGACCGCCUACUGCCUCUGGACUGUUAAGAGAGGAUAGACACUGUCUUGGUGAUACCACUUAACAGUCGUGUGCAGCAUCAUGACAUUUUGGGCAGCAAUGGACCACAUGUACAAUAAGAUUAUCACAGAGCUCAACAUUCCUAUUUCCUGGUGACAUGGCAGCCAUCAUGACUUCGUAGCACAAUGCAU
rnacentral:lncRNA from 1 species